AAAGGUUUAGUGUUAUUGUUGUUAUUGAGAUUAAAGAUUUUAUGUUAUUGUUGUUGAGAUUGAAGAUUUAAUGUGUGUCUAAUUUAAUAUAGUGUAGAUUUAUUAUAAUCUUACUUAGCAAUGUUUUGAUUUUAUAAUAUCGUUUAGCAAAGUUUAAUACUUAGCGAAGUUUUCAUUGAAAAAGCAUAAUUUUACAAGGAUUUUGAUUUAAUUUUCAGAAAGUAUUUAUGGAUCAUACUUAGUUGAAAGCUAAUAAAUCAAGUGAGG
rnacentral:lncRNA from 1 species